rnacentral:rRNA from 1 species
AGGGCCUACGGUGGAUGCCUUGGUGCUAGGCGUCGAUGAAGGGCGUGAUAAACUGCGAUAAGCUUUGGGUAAUAGUUCUAUGUGUUGAUCCAGAGAUUCCCGAAUCGGGUAACCGGAUAGACAGUUUAAUGUCUAUCGAUUGCGUUUGAAUGAAUGCAAUCGGUAACUGGGGGAAGUGAAACAUCUCAGUACCCCAAGGAAAAGAAAGAAAAAUCGAUUCUCUGAGUAGCGGCGAGCGAAAUGGGAAUAGCCUAAACCAAAUAUGUGUGAUAGUCUGCGCACGUUGCAUAUUUGGUGUUGUGGGAUAUAAUCGGAGUGGCGUGCAGGUCACUCGGGAAGUUACAAAUAAGUUUUCUAGCUUAAGAACUCUGGAAUAGGUUCACCAUAGAAGGUGAUAGUCCUGUGAGCGAAAGAAAAUUUACUUCCUGGAUUUUGUUCCCGAGUACCACGGGAUAGCCAAACCUGUGGGAAUCUAGGAGGACCAUCUCCUAAGGCUAAAUAUGACCUAGCAACCGAUAGUGAAAAAGUACUGUGAAGGAAAGGUGAAAAGUUCCCCGGGAGGGAAGUGAAAUAGAACCUGAAACCGUAAUGGCCUACAAGCUGUGGAAGUGCUAGACCAAGCUUUGCUUGGUAUGCAUGACCGCGUGCCUUUUGCAUAAUGAGCCGGUGACUUACUCUGUGUAGCAAGAUUAAGCUUUUCUGAAGCGUAGUCGUAGUGAAAACGAGUCUGAAUAGGGCGUAUAGUUGCAUGGAGUAGACCCGAAACUGGGUGAUCUAUCCAUGGGCAAGGCGAAGCGUAUGUAAAAAUACGUGAAGGCCUGAACCCACCAAGGCUGAAAACUUGGGGGAUGACCUGUGGAUCGGAGUGAAAGGCUAAUCAAACCCAGUAAUAGCUGGUUCUCCCCGAAAUAGCUUUAGGGCUAGCCUUAUGUGUUCAGCGGUGGAGGUAGAGCUCUAAUUGGACUAGCGGCCCUACCAGGUUAGCAACUCCAGUUAAACUACAAAUGCCAUCGUUCCAAAGCAUAGGAGUCAGUCAGUGGGGGAUAAGCUCCAUUGUCGAAAGGGAAACAGCCCAGACCGCCAGCUAAGGUCCCCAAAUACAAGUUAAGUGGCAAAGGAUGUUUUGUUACAUAGACAGCCAGGAUGUUGGCUUAGAAGCAGCCAUUCAUUUAAAGAGUGCGUAACAGCUCACUGGUCAAGCGGCUUUGCACCGAAAAUUUCAGGGGCUUAAACUUGUUACCGAAGCUGCGGAUUGUUCUCGUUUACGAGGAUAGUGGUAGGGGAGCGUUCUAUAGUAGGUUGAAGGAGAAUUGAAAAACUCUCUGGACAAAUUAGAAGUGAUCAUGCCGGCAUGAGUAGCGAUAAAACAAGUGAGAAGCUUGUUCGCCGUAAGCCUAAGGUUUCCUGUGGAAGGCAAGUCCACACAGGGUUAGUCGCGUCCUAAGUCGAGGCUGAAGAGCGUAGACGAUGGGUAACAGGUUAAUAUUCCUGUACCACCACCAGGCGAUUGAAUCUAGGAGAGACGCAAACAUUAGAAUCUACUAGCGGAUGGAAGUGCUAGGUCAAGCGGACGGAGGUUCCGGUUAAUCCCGGAAAUUACCUCUGAAAGUGAUGAGGUGUCCUUAAGGACUGAACUGGUUCGGUUGUUUGCCAAGAAAAGAACUCCGAGAGGACAAAUGGUGGUGUGCGUACCGCAAACCGACACAGGUAGGCAAGGAGAAUAUCCUAAGGCGCUCGAGAGAACUCUCGCUAAGGAACUCGGCAAAAUGGCUCCGUAACUUCGGGAGAAGGAGCGCUUGAGUUGGCUGGUUCGCCAGUCUAGCGAAAGCCGCAGUGAAAAGGCCCAUACGACUGUUUACUAAAAACACAGGUCUGUGCUAAAUCGUAAGAUGAUGUAUACGGACUGACGCCUGCCCGGUGCUGAAAAGUUAAGGAGAGGGGUUAGAGCUUAGGCUCGAAGCUCUGAACCGAAGCUUCAGUAAACGGCGGCGGUAACUAUAACCGUCCUAAGGUAGCGAAAUUCCUCGUCGGGUAAAAUCCGACCUGCACGAAUGGCGUAACGAUAUGGGCACUGUCUCAGCGAGAGACUCGGUGAAAUUGUAUUAUCGGUGAAGAUGCCGAUUACCCGUAAAAAGACGGAAAGACCCCGUGAACCUUUACUAUAGCUUGAUAUUGAAUUUGGAUUUAGCUUGUGUAGGAUAGGUGGGAGACUUUGAAGCUGGAGCGCUAGCACCAGUGGAGUCGCCCUUGAAAUACCACUCUUGUUGUAUCUAAA